ensembl:lncRNA
GAAACGUCCAACGGUAAAAUAGAGGAAUUUUUCCGAGACCCAAAUGGAGACGCUCGGGUCACUUGUGGAUGUGAACCGUCUGGUUUUAUUUGGUAGCCUAAAAGCUGGCAUUAAAGGCCAGCAAAAGAAUGCUAUAUGGAAGGAAAUAACUGUUGCAGUGAAUAGUGUUUCCAAUGUUCGUCGGGCUACGGAAGAGGUUUUUAACUGCGCAAUUACCGUGUGUGGAUUCGACUUGCCGCCCCUUUGACUCGGAAUCGCACUACACGGAUACCUGCUCAGAAAGACAAGAGAAACGCUAGUUUGGGAGAUUAAAUUCAACACAAUGAGCGGCCAACAGGGAAUGCAGAGGACUUCUGCGUGGUGUGCUCCUUUGCCGAAGAAAAUGCAGAUGAGAGCAUGAUUGAAAAGGUGCAGUGUGGAUUGUGCAGUCGGUGGGCACAUUUUGAGUGUGCCCAAUAUGCCCAUAAAAAUAAGGCUGUAUAUAUUUGCAAGAAAUGACUUCAAAUAAAAAGAUUUGAGAUCUUUUGGUUG